CGGAAUGAAGUAUUGGUUGUUGAGAGGUAGAUCUUGGCAUGUAGUUAAGAAAAUGGCGAAGAGCUUUGGGAAUGGAAGUCACCGGGGGAAACAAUGUUACAAUAGGAGUUGGCCCAUUAGUAGGUAUGAGCCUAAGACAAUGCCCAUUAUCAGAUUUCAGACAAGUCCUAUUAGUUUACCAGCACUUGGUACUCUGCAGUGCAGUGGUUGCUCCGGCCUUCAGUGACUUGUCGGGCCCGUGUUGGUCUCCAUUCCUCGUGAAUCGCAAGAUCUGCCAAGUGCCAACCCUGAGUUUCUUUGGUCAUGUCCCACCGUGUUGUAUAUGU
rnacentral:lncRNA from 1 species